ACGGAAGGCAGCAGUGGGGAAUAUUGGGCAAUGGGCGAAAGCCUGACCCAGCAACGCCGCGUGAGGGAAGAAGGUUUUCGGAUUGUAAACCUCUGUCCUUGGUGACGAAGGAAGUGACGGUAAUCAAGGAGGAAGCCCCGGCUAACUACGUGCCAGCAGCCGCGGUAAUACGUAGGGGGCGAGCGUUGUCCGGAAUGACUGGGCGUAAAGGGCGCGUAGGCGGCUAACUAAGUUAGGAGUGAAAGUCCGCAUUUCAAGUGCGGAACUGCUUUUAAUACUGGAUAGCUUGAGUGCAGAAGAGGUAAGUGGAAUUCCCAGUGUAGCGGUGAAAUGCGUAGAGAUUGGGAGGAACACCAGUGGCGAAGGCGACUAACUGGACUGUAACUGACGCUGAGGCGCGAAAGUGUGGGGAGCAAACAGGAUUAGAUACCCUGGUA
rnacentral:rRNA from 1 species